ensembl:lncRNA
UUAAUCUGAGCCAUUGGGCCCCCGACAAGUACGUCCCGUUCAAUCCCUGGAACCUGUGCUCAACGGGCGAUUUUAUAAAAGACGAGCGUUGUUAAGGAAGAAGGGAAAAGAGUUGUUUUUUAAAGGGAAGUCCUAUCUCUGCCUAAAAAGCAAUAUCUUAUCUUAUUUUAACUUAAAAAGGGGCCUAAUUAGCCUCAAAAAGUCCUGGGAGGAAAAUAUUGCAGUUGUUGUGGUCGAUGUGGAGGUCGAACGUCCCUCUGGGCUCUAACAGUAUCAUGUGUCAUCUCCAUAGAAGCAUUUACCUUUCCAGAGGUAGUCAUCCUUCAAAAAUGUCUUUUAAAUUUGAAAAAUAAAGGAUUAUGCCUAAUAAAUUAUUAAUGAAGCUGGGCAAAGGAGGGCAAGGGUUACUAAGAUGUUAAUUAUUCAUUGUUGGUUGCUCCCUGGUCCACUCUCAAACCGUCUGGGAUGCACACGCACACAAGCCAGAGCGGACAUCUUCUGAUUUAUUUUCAGAAUGACUUCAUUGUGCAUGUGUGUCAUAUAUCUUACAGCAAACUAAUGGGGUUAGAGGUCGUCUACCAUGUGACUUCAGUGAUGGCUAGCCCAGUUUCACUUAUUUGUAAGUUUACUACAGAGUGAAAAGGGACACGAAUAGGAGCAAAUAGGAACGUAUUCAGUGCAGUGUAUUAUUUUGUUUGUACACAUAGUGUAUGUCUAAUCAGUGCACCUCCCCCUUCAGAAAAUACAAAGAGGAAGUAUGCUCAGAAAAGCUCCCUCUAUAGCAUUGUCCAUAUCAAAACCUGACUUCCUCUUGUAAUAAACAACACAAGCGAAGACUGAUGCCCCCCCAAGUACAAAUUAAAGGCCUAUUGUUCCGACGUGCUGCUCUGCCGUAGUGCAAGAAAAUACACAACUUGCACUAUUGUUUGACGUGUUAUUUGCCAUGACAUCAAGGCCGUGUGGUGGUAGAGCACUGCCGCUUCCUGUGUAUCUGAAAAUACACCUAGUGGCGCGGCGCCUGUGUGGAGGCCGACGGGCGGAGAGAUUGAAGGCCUAAAUGUGAGACGAUCUGAGUGCAUGUGUGUCUUUGCUGACUCUAUAAAAGCCUUGUACACGUAGCACACUGUCCACACAGUGACAGGAAGAGCAGCUGUACCCCCUGAGACCGCCCUGUGUGUGUGUGUGUGUGUGUGUGUGUGUGUGUGUGUGUGUGUGUGUGUGUGUGUGUGUACAGGGAAAGGAACUGACCCCGGGCACCAUGACUGCAUCUAUUAUGUUGAGACACGGUUCCCUGUUAGCCGUCAGUGCAUCCAGCUCUGAGGCAGAGGAAAAGAGAUUGCUCAAUAUUGCUUUAAUAGCACUCCAAACGUUUGCCCUACCUCGUCUCCUUUCAAAAGGAAGAGAGGUUGACCUCCUCUACUUCCUCACUGUCCCUAUUGUCCGCUGAAAUGCAACCCAGAUGCCAUGAAAUGGCUGCAGUACUAACAAGUACCCACGCUUAUCCCAUUUCUAACCGCUUUUAUGGGAGCGAAUCUCUGGAAGCUGUCUUCCGUUUCUCUCAAUCAGUGCUGCUUAUAACACAAACUGCUUUCGUUAUUUGAAAAAUUAGGCUACUGUCUCUUGUAGACUAUCACAGCUCAGGCAUUAGUGAGGCUUCCACAUGCCUCUGACAGAGAAAUCAAGGGCCAUCCAAGAAGGAGAUUACUCCUAAAAAUAGAUUAGUGUUUAAUCUAUUAACAGUGACAAGAGAUGAACUAAUAUCCACGGUCCACCAAUUUGAUGUUUUGAUUCUGCUUUAAUUAUGAUUACCAUCAGUUAUAAGCAAGUGUGGAUCUGGGUUACGCACCUCUAAACAUUGCAUUUGAGUUAAAACCACCUCUUCCUAAAAGCUACCAAUAAUAAAAUAUUAUUAAUAUUAACACACGACCCUGAUCGGAUGGCUUUGCAAAUGAAGGUUGCAGGCCGGCGCUUACCGCGGUUUACGGCCUCCGUCUUGUCUGGAGUGCUCGCGUCAUUUGCAACAGCGGCUCUGCAACUAUUGACCUACAUAAAAAACGAGCACUUCAUGCACCAAUAUGCCAACUACGGCGAUGCAGAUAGCGGCUGGUGUCCCGUGACGCUAUGUAGGCUAUAAGGUCACAAGGAGGAGCGGGUCCUGGGUGCACCUGAAUGAACCAGGUGACUUCUAAUGCCUCCUCGGAAGGAUUCUCAGAGUCGUUACAGACGGAAGCUGCUCAGAAGCUGCUCAGUCCAAACGCUCCUGGAGGCGACACUAAUAUUUAAAGUGCUCGUUUUUCUUUACCACAAGAUUGAUACACAGCCGCUCUGACUCUUUUUUGUGUCAAAAAAACAUUAGUCCGAAUAUGAGAAGUGUGUAAGAAAUACAUUUUGAAGCAGAUGAGCGAUUCCCUUUCAGCCAGUGCCUCGUGUGGUCCUGUUGUUAGACAGUCAGUGUAAAACUGAAAGGUUCAGGCUCUAACUGCUCUCGCCUCUCACUUCUUUAUUACCGCUGCCUUUAACAUGCAAAUGAAACCGUUGAGGUUGCAGCUUCCUCCUCAUAGUUGUGACGGAAAGAAAGAGGCCCCUCAUUCGUGCAUUUUCUUAUAUUUCCAACACUGGCCCGGAAUAAAAAUAAACAUCAUGGUGUAUUUUUACACUCCUUUCAAUGCAGGAUGUUUUCUGCCCUUUUAAAAAAAAAUUCUAUCUGACAUUUCGCCGACGGAGCGAUGUGGUGCUUGGGUGAAUGGCCGGCCCUCGUCUGCUUUCAGUGGCUCUAAAUACCCUUGAGGGCACUUCUCCUGUAAAAGCACCGCGAACAAUGAGAAGGCGCCACUGCACCGCUUAAUGGUUUAAUGCAUGUAUGUCAUCACUGAGAGGGACAUUGAGAUUAACAGCAGCGAGAUCCAAUGCAAAGAAGACAUAUACAAGUUGUUUUUUUAACAUCUAAACAUGUUUAAAUAUAAAAGAUAGGAAGUAACUGUUCACAGCAGAGAUGCUAUGAGAACAUAAUGCUCGUGAAAGCAGCGCUUCCACAUAUUUUGGGACCAUAUGAGGGUUGUAAGAAAUGAAUAUUUUAUCCUCUCCAUAAAAAGCACAACAUACACACAUCAUUUAUUCAAAUAGGUCUAAAACACUGAAUAAGUUCUUCGUAAUCGAAGCUCAACAUUUCACUCUUAUUCUGUGAGGGUUCUCAGAAAGGACCUUAACAGCUAUUGUUCCUCCAGCGCAUUCUUUUAAAGCUUCAAAGGAAAAACAACAAGACUCUUUAGCCUCUGACAAUUAACUGCUGAAAUGAUUCACACUAAUUCAUCUCAUCUGCGCAUCUCUGCAGAGUACUGGACCGGCCACGGUGGGACCAGUGACUAGCAGGGGGACAGGUGACAGCAGAGAGCACCAGCUAAAAGGAUCCACCCGGAGGCUUACGCUGCCAGCAUCCUGCCAUUUGAUGACAAGGCUCCGCCUGUCCGACUGCCUUUCCUCGCUGAGCCCCCGCAGGGAGCCUGCCGAGGGGCGUAGCCGAGCAAAAUGGCUCCAACUGAGAAGAACGAUACGAUGCUGACUCAGACCACAAAACUAAAUCUGCCUGGUAACCUCUGCACCACUUUGCUCACAUUGUGGGGAGCUUAUUUUUUUAA